rnacentral:rRNA from 1 species
CAGUAGCCGCGGGAAUACGAAGGGGGCUAGCGUUGCUCGGAAUUACUGGGCGUAAAGGGAGCGUAGGCGGAUCGUUUAGUCAGGGGUGAAAUCCCGGGGCUCAACCUCGGAACUGCCUUUGAUACUGGCGAUCUUGAGUACGGGAGAGGUGUGUGGAACUCCGAGUGUAGAGGUGAAAUUCGUAGAUAUUCGGAAGAACACCAGUGGCGAAGGCGACACACUGGCCCAUUACUGACGCUGAGGCUCGAAAGCGUGUGGAGCAAACAGGAUUAGAUACCCCGGUAGUCCCUGUCUCUUAUAC